UGGGAAUUUGGACAAUGGGCGAAAGCCUGAUCCAGCAAUGCCGCGUGUGUGAAGAAGGCCUUCGGGUUGUAAAGCACUUUUGUCCGGAAAGAAAUCCUUGGCUCUAAUACAGUCGGGGGAUGACGGUACCGGAAGAAUAAGCACCGGCUAACUACGUGCCAGCAGCCGCGGUAAUACGUAGGGUGCAAGCGUUAAUCGGAAUUACUGGGCGUAAAGCGUGCGCAGGCGGUUUGCUAAGACCGAUGUGAAAUCCCCGGGCUCAACCUGGGAACUGCAUUGGUGACUGGCAGGCUAGAGUAUGGCAGAGGGGGGUAGAAUUCCACGUGUAGCAGUGAAAUGCGUAGAGAUGUGGAGGAAUACCGAUGGCGAAGGCAGCCCCCUGGGCAAGUACUGACGCUCAUGCACGAAAGCGUGGGGGAGCAAACAGGAUUAAUACCCUGGUAGUCCACGCCCUAAANGAUGUCAACUAGUUGUUGGGGAUUCAUUUCCUUAGUAACGUAGCUAACGCGUGAAGUUGACCGCCUGGGGAGUACGGUCGCAAGAUUAAAACUCAAAGAAUU
rnacentral:rRNA from 1 species